AUGGGCGCUGAGGAGGGCUCCAGGCUCCUCUGCUGUGUGGUCCUUUGUCUCCUGGGAGCAGGCCCUUUGGACACUGGAAUUACCCAGACCUUAAAACACCUGGACACUGACGUCACAGGCAAAAGCACCAACCAAGGCCAAGGAGACCAGAGGCCACCCCCCACCCCUGGGGCAUCCUAGUUAGAUGAUGCCACUUCGACCCUGACACCACCAUGGGCUGCGGGCUGUUCUGCUGUGUGGUCCUCUGUCUUGUGGGAGCAGCCUCCGCGGACACGGAAAUAACUCAGAUACCAAAAUACCUAGUUAUGGGAACUAGAAAUAAGAAAUCUUUGAGAUGUGAACAACGUCUGGGACACAAUUCUAUGUACUGGUAUAAACAGAGUGCUCAGAAGCCGCCGGAGCUCAUGUUCACCUACAACUACAAGGAACUUGCUAGCAAUGAGACUGUUCCAAGUCGCUUCCGGCCUGAAUGCCCAGACAGCUCCCACGUCUACCUGCACGUGGACACCCUGAAACCGGAAGACUCUGCCCUGUAUCUCUGCGCCAGCACCCUGCGUCCUGGAGGAUCAGCUGUCUGCAUGCACACAAAGGCUCCCUCAUCUCUCCUGCAGAGGAUGCUCCAGGGACAGGGAGACCCCCGACAGAGCCUCAAACCGAACCGAGGAUUCCCUGUUGCCAAGGCUGUGGCCCCCCAGGGCUGA